rnacentral:rRNA from 1 species
GAGAUCGAGCGUUAUCCGGAUUUAUUGGGUUUAAAGGGAGCGUAGGUGGAUUGUUAAGUCAGUUGUGAAAGUUUGCGGCUCAACCGUAAAAUUGCAGUUGAAACUGGCAGUCUUGAGUACAGUAGAGGUGGGCGGAAUUCGUGGUGUAGCGGUGAAAUGCUUAGAUAUCNCGAAGAACUCCGAUUGCGAAGGCAGCUCACUAGACUGUCACUGACACUGAUGCUCGAAAGUGUGGGUAUCAAACAGGAUUAGAUACCCUGGUAGUCCACACAGUAAACGAUGAAUACUCGCUGUUUGCGAUAUACAGUAAGCGGCCAAGCGAAAGCAUUAAGUAUUCCACCUGGGGAGUACGCCGGCAACGGUGAAACUCAAAGGAAUUGACGGGGGCCCGCACAAGCGGAGGAACAUGUGGUUUAAUUCGAUGAUACGCGAGGAACCUUACCCGGGCUUAAAUUGCAUUUGAAUAUGUAGGAAACUAUAUAGCCGCAAGGCAAAUGUGAAGGUGCUGCAUGGUUGUCGUCAGCUCGUGCCGUGAGGUGUCGGCUUAAGUGCCAUAACGAGCGCAACCCUUAUCUUCAGUUACUAACAGGUCAUGCUGAGGACUCUGGAGAGACUGCCGUCGUAAGAUGUGAGGAAGGUGGGGAUGACGUCAAAUCAGCACGGCCCUUACGUCCGGGGCUACACACGUGUUACAAUGGGGGGUACAGAAGGCAGCUACCUGGUGACAGGAUGCUAAUCCCAAAAACCUCUCUCAGUUCGGAUCGAAGUCUGCAACCCGACUUCGUGAAGCUGGAUUCGCUAGUAAUCGCGCAUCAGCCAUGGCGCGGUGAAUACGUUCCCGGGCCUUGUACACUACCGCCCGUCAAGCCAUGAAAGCCGGGGGUACCUGAAGUACGUAACCGCAAGGAGCGUCCUACGGGAAAACCUG